rnacentral:rRNA from 1 species
UACGGAGGGUGCAAGCGUUGCUCGGAAUUAUUGGGCGUAAAGGGUAGGUAGGUGGUCUCAUUUGUCUGGGGUGAAAGCCUUGAGCUUAACUCAGGAAGUGCCCCAGAAACGGUGAGACUAGAGUCCUGGAGAGGGUCGUGGAAUUCCCGGUGUAGCGGUGAAAUGCGUAGAGAUCGGGAGGAACACCAGAGGCGAAGGCGGCGACCUGGACAGGCACUGACACUCAACUACGAAAGCGUGGGGAGCAAACAGG